GACGAACGCUGGCGGCGUGCCUAAUACAUGCAAGUCGAGCGCGGGAAGCUUGCGGAAUCCUUCGGGAGGAAGUGAGCGGACCGAGCGGCGGACGGGUGAGUAACACGUGGGCAACCUGCCCGUAAGACGGGGAUAACCCCGGGAAACCGGGGCUAAUACCGGAUAGGUGACCUUUCUGCAUGGAGGGGUCAUGAAAGGCGGCGGAAGCCGUCGCUUACGGAGGGGCCCGCGGCGCAUUAGCUAGUUGGUGAGGGAAGGGCUCACCAAGGCGACGAUGCGUAGCCGGCCUGAGAGGGUGAACGGCCAUACUGGGACUGAGACACGGCCCAGACUCCUACGGGAGGCAGCAGUAGGGAAUCUUCCGCAAUGGACGGAAGUCUGACGGAGCAACGCCGCGUGAGUGAGGAAGGCCUUUCGGGUCGUAAAAGCUUCUGUUGUUUCGUGAAGAAAGG
rnacentral:rRNA from 1 species